CUCAUAAUCAUCAUGUUCCCUCCCAUUGUGUCCUCUGCAUCUUAUCUCUACACACCCACAUACAAGAACCAUGUUUUCUUUUCAAAUACACACACAUGAAACAACAUCAUCUCCCAAAACUUCCCCUCCAUCUCUCGGUUAUACGUACAGGCAACAAGCACACACAUAAAAAUCAAGAAGAAACUUUGUCUUCCACACCCCCUUGCCUCUAUUGUGAUCGGCCGACCAUGUUUCCCCGGCCGUUCGAUCUCUGGCAAACACCACACACACCGACACCCCUCCUUUCUUACACCCCCUCCUCCCUUUGACUGACGAACGGCCACCACCACCGCCGUCCGGUGGUGGAGUGAAGACAAGACGGAGAGAGUAAGAAGAUGGCACGAUGACGCAGCAAGAGAGAGAAAGACGAGGAGGAGGUGGUCCGAUGAGGACUUUUGACCGCGACAGCGCCGUGAGCGACGGCCGCUGGCGGCGGAGCCGCGACGGCAGUGGGUGCGACAGCGGUGGCGGCGGCCUGUGAAUGUUCUCUGACAGAUUUACCGAACAGGUUCAGGCAAAAACUCAACAUGUUUACUCUUUUCAGUUUUCAGUUCGGGUUUUAGAUUCAUCUCGGUUCAGGGCUCUGGUCUUAUUUUGUUUUGGUUCGAGUCCCAGUUGACUACAGUCAACCCUGGUUAACAUCAGGUUCAGUUGUCUCUGUUCAGGCUUGGUACGAUGGUGGACUGCGGAAGGCGUCGGAAUUUCCGACGGCAGUGGUGGUGACUCUGGCUCGAGUGGUGAUUCAGUUCAGUUUAGGUCACGGCUCAAGUGCGGGUCUUAGUGCAACUCGGUUCAACCCGGUUCGACUCGGUCAACAUUAGUCAACUGAUCAAACUCAGUCAACACACGACUCGGGUGACCUCGGUGUUCCAUCCUCCUAAUAUCAUACACUCGUCAACACUU